rnacentral:rRNA from 1 species
AAGAAUAAUACUAUUGCGCAAGUGCUCAGCUCAUCCCCGCCAAAUAUUUCGUUUAGGCGGGAUUUGAUUGGCACCCGACUUAUGUCAUGGAAUAAUCUAUUGUCCCGUCUGGAUUCGAUUAUCCUGACACAAGGUCGUGAUGUGUUUCGCUGGAACCUUACUACAUCGGGGUCUUUCACAGUAGACUCUAUGUAUCGUGCACUCUCGCAUUCUGAGGUACCGGUGAGAAAUAACAAAAUAAUUUGGAAAGCGAAGGUACCACUUAAAGUCAAAAUAUUCAUGUGGUAUCUCCGUAGGGGAGUUGUGCUAACAAAAGACAACCUCGCAAGACGCAACUGGUCGGGAAGUAAGAAGUGUUGUUUUUGUACUCACGACGAGACAAUUAAACACCUCUUUUUUCACUGUAAGUUUGCGCGUUCUACGUGGUCAGCCAUCCAAAUAGCGUCAAAUUUGUAUCCACCCACAAGUGUUGCCAAUAUUUUUGGUCAUUGGCUGGACGGUAUUUCAAAUAGGUACAAAACGCUAAUAAGGGUGGGAGCGUAUGCCUUACUAUGGUCGCUUUGGCUAUGUAGAAAUGAUGUUGUUUUUAAUGACAAAACUGUUUUGCCUUUGCAGGUUAUUUUCCGUUGUACGCACUCGCUUCGUACGUGGUGUACGCUACAACGAGCGGAGUACCAACCGCUGUUCAAGGCGGUGUGUACGCUGUUGGAGCAGGUGGCUACGGAGGUUUUUACCUAA